GGUCCUGUAGCCUAGUGGUUACAGUGACCGCCUCGGAUGUGGGAUGUUGCGGGUUCGAACCUCGGCCGAGUCA